AUCGGUUUGGGUCAGGUUUUUGGUUGUUUUUAAGUAGGUUUGGUUCUGUGUUUAAGUUGGCAGUUCGGGUUGGGUCGGUUUAUGAGUUAAACAAUAAAACCCAAUGAAAAUCGCCCAAACCGACCCGUCUACUGGCUACUGGAAAAAAAUGAAAAAAUAAAAAAUAAAAGUCACUCUUUAGUCAGUGUCUUCAUUCGUAAACCCAAUAGAAGCCCUAAAAAAUCUCACUAGUCUCUCAUUAUCUCCCGCUUCGCUGCUCCCACUCAAAUCGUCGAUGGCAUUGGCAGCCAUCUUCGAUUUUCAGUUUCCCACUCCUUUCACCGAGAUCUGAACUGGGCUUUUAAGGUUUUGAUUUAGAUUUUUGGAUCUAAAAGAUAUGUGUUUUUUGAGGAACUUGGGGCUUAUAAAUUGUAAAUUUCUCGGUUAAAGCUAAAAGAUUAGGUGUUGUGGUAGUUUUUAGCUGAAACGUGGUUGAUGAUCAGUUCAAGAUUUGGCAUAUGAAUUUCUUGGAAAUCAAAUUCUGGCUUGGGGAAGGGGAAGGCUUCAAUGGGGCAGUUGGAUGAAAAAGAAAAUAAGCUUUCAUAUCAAGAUACUCAUAUCCCUCUUUUCUCUAUGAGUUUUUCUAUCUUGAUUCUUGAGCAAGGGAGAUUUUAUUAUAAUUGUUAGGAUUGCAAGGAUUUAUUUCAAGAUUUCCUUCCCUAUAUAUGUCUCUUCUAUAUGAUAUCGUAGUUAUUAAUUUUUUGCCAUUAAUACUCCUUUUCAUUUUUGCUUUGUGAUUUCGAAAUUCACAUCAAAAAAUUUAUUCUUCAAAAUAAUACCAUUUUAUGAGGAUAUAGUAGUACAAGAAUUUUUACAAUUUUAGUUUGAUUUCCAGGUGAUAAGAAUUGCCUGAAUUUUGAACUUUGGCAUUCCUGUGCUGAUCCUCUCGUUUCUCUACCUGCUGUUGGGACUUGGGAGCCAUGUGAUAUAUUUUCUGCAGGGUCACAGUGAACAGGUUUGUUUCUUGGCUUUUUGUUUUGAUAAAAGUUACAAUUUUCUCAAGGUCGAAUGUUGUUAAGCUUGGUACAUUUACUAUUAAUUUGUUUUUGUUUGGAAUGUUUGGCUGGUGCUCUUGAUGGCAGUGGUGUUUUAAUUACAAAGAGCAUGUUUAGAUCAUGAUUUCUCAGUAUUUUGGUGACUUUAAUAUUUGUUGAUAGAUUGUCCCGAACCGACCAACCCAACCCGACCGACAUUUGGUUGGGUUGGGUUGGGUUUCAAUCCUUGCAUGGGUUGGGUUGGGUUGAAUUUCAAUCAAACUGACCAUGUUGGGUUGGGUUUGGGUUGGGGCAAAAACCAACCCAACCCACGCCCACCCCUAACUGUAAGAUAGUUCAAACUUCCCACUAGCUGACGAUAUAAAGAGGGAUAAAAAAGAAGAUCCCCUUCCUCCUUGCUCUACUUUACAUUUACCUCCAAAAAAGUGUCAACAACUUUACCAUCCCGAAGUCCACCUAAUGCAAUCAAUUCCUCUAUAUACUUAUGCUGAUGUAGAUAAGUCCCGGACGGACUUGAAAGCACCUCUAGACCUAAGAAGUAUUGUAAAUAUCCCAAAUCCUCCAUAUGAAAUGACUCCUUAAGUCGGUUUUGAAGGUGAGAUAUCAAUCCCAAGUAUGUCCAUGUAAUAACUAUAUCAUCCACAUAGAUAAGAAGGAACACAAUACCUACCUCGCUGACAGAGAUAAAGAGCGAUAAGUCAUACUGGCUCUGAGUAAAUGAGAAUCCCAAGAGAGUGGAACGAAACUUGUCAAACCAAGCACGAGGAGCCUGUUUCAGCCCAUAAAGUGAACACUUUAGCUUAAAAACCUCAAAAGAGGGUUUGGAGAAGAGACUUGGUGGAGGAGACAUAUAGAUCUCUUCCUGAAGAUCACCAUGCAAAAAAGCAUUUUGACAUCCAUCUACCGCAUAGACCAACCUUUAGAGGCAGCUAUAGUAAAAAUCGUACGAACCGUGGUCAUUUUCACAACGGGAGCAAAAUUCUCCUCAUAAUCCACUCCAUAUUCUUGGUGAUUACCAAGAGCCACCAACCGAGCUUUAUAUCGAUCUAAGGAACCGUCAGAGCGUAGCUUAAUAGAAUAGACCUACUUACAUUCAAUAGGUUUGACCCCAGGAGGACAAAGACAAUAUCCCAAGUGUGAUUCUCUUGAAGAGCCAGGAGUUCCUCUUACAUUACUUUUUCUCAACAACGUUGGGUAACUACCUGAGAAUAAGAAGUAGGAACAGUGAUAUGAGAUAAGGUUGCAGAGAAACCAUACUUUUCGGGACGUUUAACAGUGUGAGUGGACCGCAUAAGAUUAGUAGAGCCUGGAGAGGGAUUAGGGUCAGGAAGAGGCGAUAGGGCCGAAGACUGUCGUCUUUAAUAGACCAAACCUGGUUUAAAACGUUCAUUGGGACGAGAGUCAUCCUCAAAUAUACUAAGCCGAGCCAAAUCAGAAGAGGAUAUGACAUGCUGGUGGAAAUAAUACUGAUUCUCAAAGAAAACCACAUUGCGAGAUAUAAGGAAGCGGUUAGCAACACCAUCAUAACAAACGAAGCCCUUCUGAGCAAUACUAUAUCCCAUAAAAACACAUUUUACAGAUUGAGCAGCAAGUUUAUGAUGUUUAUGAGGAGGCGGAUGAACAAAGCAAACACAGCUAAAAUUAUUUAACAUAUCAUAACUAGGAUGUGUACUGUAUAAGCGAAAAUAAGACGAGUCAAAAUUCAAAUAUUGAGAAGGAAGUCAAUUAAUUAGGUAUACGACUGUGGAUAGGGCUUCAACCCAAAAUUUAGGUGGAACUAAUGAUUCCAAAAGCAAAACUCGAACAACAUCUAACAAGUGCCGAUUCUUUCUUUCGACUACCCCAUUUUGUUGUAGAGCAUAUGGAAAAGAACGUUGAGAGAUAAUACAUUUUUGUUAUAAGAAGUUUUGACAAUCAUGAGACAUAUAUUCUCCCCCAUUUUUAGACCAUAAAAUAUGAAUGUUGGUAGAAAACUGUGUCUUAAUGUAAGCUACAAAAGUUCUAAGAGUGGUACUAACCUCACUCUUAGAACGAAGAAAAUAUAUCGAAGUGUAGCGACUAAAAUCAUCAAUAAACGUCACAAAAUAUUUAUAUUGAGCAUGUGAAGUAACAGGCGUGAUACCCUAAACAUCACUAUGAAUAAUCUUAAAGCAUUUAUCAACAUGAUUGCCAUGGGUAGGAAAUGGAAGAGUCUUACUUUUCCCAAGUUUACAAGUAUCACAAUCAAAAUUUAAAUUGGAAAUUGAAACUAAUCUUUAUUAACAAGGAAACCACAUUUCAACAAAUGAGACAAAAUUAAAGUGUUUGGAUGCCCUAAUCUUUUAUGCCAAAUCUCAUGCUUGAGUCAAAAACUAAUACAAGCCAAAGACAUAGCGUGAGGAAUAGUAAACUGCCUUCCUCGACGCCUGAUCCUGUACAAGAUAACCAACACAAGAAAUACAUAUAUCACAGUUAUUAUCAACCAAUUGACCAACCGAAAUCAAGUUUAUAGAUAAGUUCGAAGAUACAAAAACAUUAUCAAACCGAGACCCAAGAUCACCACCAACAGUAAUAGGAAAGGUACUGUCAUUAGCGAUUUGAAUAUGUUGUGAGCUAUUAUUCAAUGAACCAGAACUACCUGUCAUGUGGUAUGAUGCUCCUGAGUCAACAAACCAAGGUGAAGAAACAACUGAACCCUUACCUUGUAACCCCAAGGCAGAGAAGGUGGAAGCAAUCAUCUGCUGAACUAUUUCUGGGGUAAGUAGAGGUUGACUGGUGCUAGUCUGUGAAGGUCUUGGAGUAGUACCUCGAAUGUCAACCUGAAAUGCUUUAGCUUUCUGAUAUGGAGGUCGUGUGGGACAGUCCUUGAUGAUUUUCCCUGGUUCCUUACAAUAAUUGCAAAUUGUCUGAGGAUAGUUACGAGUAAUAUAAUCGUAUCCUUUGCAAUGAAAACACUGAAGUUUACUCUUCCCUCGUCCUUGGGCAACAUAUGCAACAUUGACCACAUCGGGUGAGGAAAUAUCAGCUCCCACCGUAGCUUAAGUAGCCAAUCGUUACUCUACAUGCAAAAGUUUACCCAAAAAAAAAUCCAAUGGAGGAACUGGAUCACGAUUCAAUAAGCCUGCUCAAACCACUUCAAAUUCGGGUCAUAGUUUCAUCAAGAACUAAUCUCGCUUACUAACUUCCUAAACAUCUUGUAGUGCUGAUAAUGUCGUCACAGGAACCUUAGCAUGAAUUAUGCGGGAAUACUCACUCCAUAAGUUAAAAAAGCCAGAGUAAUACUGCUCAAUAGUAAGAUUACCCUGAGUGUAAUUAGCAAUCUCUAACUCCAGCUAGAAUUUUCAAGCAUUAUUGUCUUGAUAAUAAAUGUGCUUUAAAUAUUCCCACAUUUCCUUUACAGUAGUAAAGGAGUGUAAAUUAUUCACCAUGUGCGCCUCCAUAGAUCCCACAAUCCAGGAAAUAAUUCUAGCAUCCUUUGCCCCCAAAGCUCCUUCCCUUUUAAGAUCAUCUUGAAUUGAAAUUUCCAUAUAGGAUAAUUCUUUCCAGUAAACUUAACACAAAAUGCCUCGAUCGGCAUGACUUCUCAAUGUUAGAAAAUCACAAAAUAUUUUAACCUCCGUCCACAAAAUACCCUAAUCAAAGCCCACUUUGAACAACAGCCCAUGUAUAAAUCAAAAUAAUUGUCCACAGCCCACUUCAAUUUAUAACCACACAAUCUACUCCAAGAUGCCCAAUUCAGUUAUGGAGCCCAUACCCAAACCCACAUACCUAAUGGAUCAGGCCCAGUUAAUAAAACCUAAAAUUACAACCAAACCCACACUGCUUCACACCGACCACGAAAACGCAAUCCUAUAGAAGCGCGUCGAUCACCGGAGACACAAAACGAGAGCCAUCGUCGAUCGUUGCACACACAGAUGGAGAUGCCAAUAACUGGACAGGUAAUCUCCCAUGCCGAUUGCACACACAGGAACCACAACAAUGCUUUACACAUGAAAACGCCGCACACACAGAAACGCCAGAGAAUCUCAUACUCAACUUCGACCACCUACAGAGAAUCGACUCCCACCUGUGAAGGAAGUCAGAUACCGUUCUUCUCGAUUCCAGAACUCAAGAUGCCACCACAUGAGACUUAGUGACCAACAAAGGGAGCCCAUGAUUCAGCGAUCUCAGAGGUAGGCUCUGAUACCAUAACAAUAUUUUUAGGCUGAAUAAUCUCCCCAUUCAAAUUCUUGUAUUAUAUAUUAAUAAAGAUAUACAAAUAUGGAAAAAGCAUUUUACAAGUAUGGUAAGGGAAUGUGUAAAUAUGAUUACAAUAUGAAAUUGGUAAAUAAUCUUCGUCCAUCUCUCAUUGACAAACAUCAAUUUAAAUCACCCUUGAAUACUGCGUAAUUGAUCCUCAUCACAUAUUGAAAUUUGAAGAGUUAACAAGUCUGUUUAAUAGAAACGCAGAAGUACAUGUACACAGAAUAAGGAAUGAGUGUUACAUAUACAUAUUUGUGUAUAAACAACUAUUCAGAUGGCUUUGCUACAAAAAUCGUAUGUUGAAGAUGGUAAGGAACCUGUUUCUUUAUGUAAUACUUUAAUUAAUUUAAAAGGGAAGUCAACCAAAUUGGUCAAAAAUGUCCAGAAUAAAAAAAAAGGAUAAAAUAAAAAUUGGCAUGUAGUGGAUAAAAGCCAUCCAAAUCCAAUAUAUAUAUAUAUAUAUAUAUAUAUAUAUAUAUAUAUAUAUAUAUAUAUCAUAACACAACACACACUACAAACACAAGAAAUGGAAAGAAAGAGAAAAGAAAAAAGAAACAGAAGAAAAAGAAAGGAGAAAAAGGGGAAGAAAAAGAAGGAAAAAAAGGAGGAAAAUUCGCCAACAUGUUUGGAAUUAAGUGGGUCAUACUAUUAGGCUUGAAUUCCUCAAUUUCGAAAAGUAAGUAAAAAGGUACUUAUUGUCAAGUUAUGUUUAAUUUUAAAGUUCUUUGAUUGUUAGAUUAAAUUCAAUUUUAUUGAAGGGGUUAAGUAUAAUAAAUUAUGAAAUUGAGUAAAAUGAAAGAAAAAUUAGUUUUAGUGAUUAAAUAGACUUUAGAAAUUGUUUAAACGUGCAAUGAUUAAGUUGAGUAUCGCUUGUUUAAUUAUUGAAAUUACUUAAAAUAAUUAAUUAUCGAUUUAAUAUAUCAUAUUUCAAGCGGCGAUACGGGCAUUGGGACAGCGUACCAACCAAGUUGAUACUGACGUGCAUAGUUCUGUAAGUGAAAAAAUAUAAAUAUUUUUAAAGUAAUUAUAAAUAAAGUAUAUUAUCAAAGUAUGUGCAAUUAUGUAAAUUAUUUGCUUCAUUAUGUGAUUACGAUGAAAGUUUCUCUUAUUAUAAUUCAUGUGGAAUCUCAAAGAUUUUUUAUGGUACAUUUAUGACUUGGUAUAUAAGACACGUGAUAUUGAAAUUUGUAUGGUAUGUGAGACAUGUAAUAUUGAGAUCGGCCAAAAAAGUACCCAUGAUUAUAUAAUUUUUCUAGUUCACAGAGGGGCCUUAACCUUGUUCUAUCCUACCGGAGGGUCUUGACGAACAUUGAUCUUGACUGUGUAUAUAUAGUUCAUAGAAGGGCAUUGGCCAUAUUCUAGAAUUGAUUAUGAGAGGUCUUUGAGCUCCGCUUUCGUUCACGGAGGGGACUAAGGGCCCGUGAUGAAAGUUCUUAGCCCGCGGGAUGGAUUACAGAUUUCAGUCAAAGGGUGCAUUUUUUGUGGAUUUUUCAGUAUAUUUGAUAUAAUGAGAGUACAGUAUGAUUAUCAGCUUAUGCUUAUAUCAUGAUUUGAGAUGAUACUUUAUGAAGUUGUGUGGAUAUCUCACGUUUUGGCUAUAAUUAUAUGAUGUUAUCUUGUGAAUUAGUUAAUGAUAUGAAUUCGAUUUUCAAUAAAUGUAAAAUGGGAAAAGUAUAUUUAAUUUUGAACUUCUCCACUCAUUGAGCUAUCUACUCAUAUAUUUUCCCACGUUUUUCUUUAUCAGGCAGCAAUUGAGUAUCUGGGCAUCUUGGGGAGUCGAGUCUUGAUUUUGAAUUCAGACCCACACGACAGAGUUUGUUAGUAUGACUCACUUCAUAGAACAUGUAGUCAGUGUUUUGGGACGCCGUCUAGAUGUGGUUUUUGCAUCACUUGUAAAUAGUUAUUGGGCUCACUAUGUAAUUUGCUUCCAUAUGUACAUUUCAUGCUAUUUUCUUGGUAAAAGAUGAACUUUCAGCUUAUUGUUAUUGUGUUGUGUUAUAAUUUAGGAUUUGUGUAUAGUGGAAUACAGGUUGGUUAGUCCGAUUUACAAAGGAGAUAAUGCCGAAAUUAUGUUAGAAAUUAUUUAUAAAAAGUUGCAUAUCGUGGUUGUAGUAGCUUUGAUGGUAGGUCCGACUUUUAGUUGGUAUCUAUCAUCGGCGCAUGCCAUGCUUCGGGUCUAGCAGUGUUACACGGGACGGGGCGUGUCACUUUGGUAUCAGAGCAUGCAUUAGAGUCCAUAGGUUUGCAUUGUACAUACAUACAUUCUGAUUUUUAGCAUAUGAUGCAUAACUGUAGGUGAGUCAUGCCUCGUGGUGGUAAAACUCGAAGGCUCCAAGAUAUGUUGCCCCAAUCUCACAUUGCUCCUGAUAGACCUAGAGAGUUCGAGAGGGUAGAAGAAUCAGUUCACCAACCUCCUGAACAACGGGGAUAGGAAAAUGUGAUUGGAACUGAUUCUAUGAUUGUUGAAAGAAUUGUUAUUGUUGUUGCAUCCGCUAUGCAUAAUAUUGAGAGAGAUUUCAGUAAUGAAAGGGCUACAAAAUUAGGGGCUAAAGUUUUCACUAGAACAGCCGAUCCUGCAGUUGCUCAGGCAUGGAUGACCAAGAUAGAGAGGGUAUUUGAUGUUAUGGGUUGCUCAAAUGAUGGAAAGUUGUGUCUUGCCACUUUCUUAUUAGAGAAGAGUGCGUAUGAUUGGUGGCAGUCGGUACGGAGCACAUAUCUAAACCCUUCCAUCAUCACUUGGAUAGAUUUUUGGCGUAUCUUUUACGAUGCCUAUUACCCUUGAUCCUAUAAAGAUGUAAAACAGGAGAAAGUUUUGAAACUAGUACAAGACCAUAUGAUUAUUGUAGAAUAUCAGGUGAAAUUUAUUGAACUUUCAAAAUAUACCUAAGUUUUGGUAAGCAACAAAAUGGAUAAAUGCAGUUGAUUUGAAAAUAGGUUAAGGGAAGAGAUCCGAUCAGUAGUAACAGCUGGAGGCUGGAACGAACUUGGGAAAUUGGUGGAAUCAGCUUUGAGAGUAGAAAAGAGCAUUAUAGUAGGCCAAGUGGUAGAGAACAAACAAUAUUUAGAGCAAACAGUAGUCAAACAAUGACAAGUGCUUCUAGUAAUAGACCCCCAUGAAGGACAGUAGAGGAUUUCGACCUGGUGUAUCCAGUUCAGAUCAAUUCAAAUCUCGAUUUCAAGAAAGCCAGGGUCCUAGAUUCAGUCCCAAUACUGUGCAGCAACCAUUGGCCAGUCGUACUUAUACUCGGGGUUCUUCCCAAAGAUCAUUUACUCCGAGACAGGGAGAGAGUUCUACUAGUGCCAGAUUUCCUUCUUGCAAGUAAUGUGAAAGAUCUCAUCCUGAAGAGUGCUUAAAGUUCAAGGGAGCUGGUGUUUGCUAUCACUGUGGCUAAGAAGGACAUCUGAAAAGGAACUGCCCAGUUGUAUUCCAUGAGAGUGGCAUGGCAUAGAGGAUGUUUCCUCAACAGAGUGCUAGUACUACAAGACAGAAUCAGACUCAGAGAAAUGAUUCAGCUAACAGAGAAAGUGCAAACAGUGCGGCCCAGUCUAAUAUCGCAAGCGAUAGUGGUACAAAAUCAAAAGGUCAAGCAGGACAACCGAAGGCCCAGGGCAAAGUUUUUGCUAUGACUCAACAGAUGGCAGAGGAGUUACCAGAUGUUAUCAUGGGUAUGUUGUCUAUUUUUGAUAAAAAUGCUCAUAUUUUGAUUGAUCCUAGAUCUUCACAUUCUUUUAUGUAAUUUGCAUUUACUUUAUAUAUGAAUCAAAAGCUAGAACCUCUAGGCAGUUGUUUGGUAGUGAGUACACUAGUAGGAGAAUCACUAUUAGCAAACAGUAUAUAUCGAGAUUGUGGGAUUAAGGUAAAGGAGAAUGAGCUGAAGGCAAAUUUGACACAUCUUGACAUAUAUGAUUUCGAUGUUAUCUUGGUUAUGGAUUUUCUGGCAACAAAUCGAGCUUCAAUUGAUUGCUUUCGAAAGGAGGUUGUGUUUAGGCAGCCAGAACGGCCUGAACUUAUAUUCGCAGAAUUUUAUCAUCUUGUGUGAUAUCUGCUAUUGAUGCUAGAAGAUUACUCAACAAGGGCUGACAUGCAUAUUUGGCUCAUGUGAUUGAUACAAAUGUUAGUAAACUAAAACUCAAAGAUAUCUCAGUGGUUAAAGACUUUCCUGAUGUAUUUCCAUAAGAAUUACCAGGCUUACCAUCAGAUAGGGAUAUCGAGUUCACUAUAGAUCUGAUUCCAGGAACUGCACCUAUUUCACGAGUUCCAUAUAGGAUGACUCUAAUAGAAUUGAAAGAGCUAAAGGUUCAAUUGCAAGAGUUGGUAGACAAGGAUUUCAUCAGACCUAGUGUAUCUCCAUGGGGAGCACCAAUUUUAUUUGUGAAGAAGAAAGAUGGCACCAUGUGAUUGUGCAUAGAUUACAGACAGUUGAACAAAGUGACAAUUCGCAAUAAAUAUCCUUUGCUAUGUAUUGAUGAUUUGUUUGAUCAACUUCGUGGUGCUGCAGUAUUCUUAAAGUUUGAUUUGCGUUCUGGAUAUCAUCAACUUAAAAUCAGGGACAGUAAUAUGCCAAAAACUAUUUUCAGGACAAGGUAUGGUCAUUAUGAAUUUGUUGUGAUGCCAUUUGGGUUGACCAAUGCACCAGCAGCAUUUAUGGAUAUGAUGAAUAGAGUGUUUCGCUCUUAUUUAGACAGAUUUGUGAUUGUAUUCAUCGAUGAUAUUUUAGUAUACUCUUAGAAUCAUGAUGAGCACACAGAGCAUCUCAAAAUCAUCUUACAAACUCUACGGGAUAAGCAGUUGUAUGCUAAAUUCAGUAAAUGUGAAUUCUGGCUGGAUAGAUUUGUAUUCUUGGGACAUGUCAUAUCAGUAGAGAGAAUUUAUGUUGACCCGCAGAAAAUUGAGGCAUUGAUAAAGUGGGAAAGGCCUACUAAUGUGACAGAAAUACAAAGUUUUAUUCGCUUAGCAGGUUAUUGCUGUCAUUUUGUAGAGGAAUUUUCUAAAAUUGUUCUGCUUUUGACCAGUUUGACUAGAAAGAAUGAUAAUUUUGUAUGGAAUGAAGAUUGUGAAAGAAGUUUUCUCGAAUUGAAGAAUCGAUUAGUGUCAGCUCCAGUUCUUACCCUAUCAUCUCCUGGUAAAGAGUUUGUAAUAUUUAGUAAUGUUUUACGUCAGGGUCUUGGUUGUGUUUUAAUGCAGAAUGGGAAAGUUAUACCGUAUGCUUCCAGGCUGUUGAAGAAACAUGAACUGAGUUAUCUUACACAUGACUUAGAGCUAGCUGCAGUUGUCCUAGCCUUGAAGAUUUGGAGACAUUACUUGUAUGGCGAGAGAUGUCAGAUAUAUACAGAUCAUAAAAGCUUAAAGUAUAUUUUCAAUCAGAAAGAGUUGAACCUGAGGCAAAGAAGAUGGUUAGAGUUGAUAAAAGAUUACGAUUGCAAGAUGAUUAUCAUCUAGAGAAGGCUAAUGUAGUUGCUAAUACUCUCAGUCAGAAGAUAUCAAAUCCUAUGAUCUAGACUAAUGCAAUAUGUUCUUCUUUGUUUGGUGAGUUUAGAGCUUCACAUGCCCAAUUGUCAGUUACUAAUGUAGGAGCAUUGUUUGCCAACUUCCAAGUCACUUUGAUUGACACAGUUAGAGAAGCCCAAACUCAAGAUCCAGUGUUGAGCAAAUUGAAAGAAGAAGUUAGUAAAGGUAAGCACAUAGAUUAUACCAUUCGAGAUGACGGAGCUUUAGUUAUGGAAAACAGAUUAUGUGUUCCAGAUGAUUCGAAAUUGAAGAGAGAAAUUCUAGAAGAGGCACAUUGUUCAGCUUACGCAAUACAUCCGGUUAGUGUUAAAAUGUAUCAUAUACUCAAAGAACACUAUUGGUGGCAUGGAUUUGUAUCCAGAUGUCUCAUUUAUUAGCAAGUGAAACUAGAUCGUCAGAAAAUAGCAGGAUUGUUACAAAUACUGCCUAUUCCUGAGUGGAAAUGGGAGCACAUUACUAUGGAUUUCUUAUUUGGACUUCCACAGACUCAUAGUGGACAUAAUGGCACAUGGAUCAUUAUAGACAGAUUGAUGAAGCUACCAGAUUUUUGCCUAUUAAAAUCACUUACUCGUUAAAUAAAUUGGCAAAAAUAUAUGUUGAUGAGAUAAUCAGUUUGUAUGGGGCACCAGUAUCUAUUAUUUCAGAUAGAGAUUCUCGUUUUAUUUCUAAAUUUUGGCCCAGUUUGCAGAAAGCUAUGGGUACUAAACUUCAUUUCAGUACAACUUUUCAUCCACAAACAGAAGGUCAGUCAGAAAGAACUAUUCAGACUUUGGAAGAUAUGUUACGAGCUUGUGUACUAUAGUUUAAAGGGAAUUGGGAAACUCAUCUUCCUUUGAUGUAGUUUGCUUAUAAUAACAGUUAUCAUUCAAGUAUAGGAAUGACUCCUUUUGAAGCACUGUAUGGUAGGAUAUGAAGAACUCCAGUAUGUUGGGAUGAAGUGGGCGAAAGAAAGUUAUUGGUCCUGAAUAAGUCCAGAUUACUGUUGAGAAAGUAAAGAUAAUUAAAGAAAAGUUAAAGACAACUCAAAAUAGACAGAAGAACUAUACAGAUAGACGCAGAAGAAACCUUGAAUUUGAUGUUGAGGAUAGAGUUUUCCUGCGAUUGUCGCCAUGGAAAUGUGUUAUCAGAUUUGAUAAACGGGAUAAAUUGAGUCAGAGGUAUAUUGGCCCAUAUGAGAUUAUUGAGUGCAUUGGUCCAAUUGCUUAUCGAUUGUCUUUGCCAAUGGAAUUGUCCAGAAUUCAUGAUGUAUUCCAUGUUUCCAUGCUUCGUAAGUAUAUUCCGAAUCCAUCUCAUGUUUUGGAAUCACUACCAGUAAAGCUGAAAGAAAAUCUUACAUAUGAAGAAGAACCAGUUCAGUUAUUGGACUGAAAAGAAGAUGUCUUGCUCAGUAAGACUAUUCAUUUGGUUAAAGUCUUGUGGAGGAAUCAGGCUGUAGAAGAAGCUACACGGGAAAGUGAAGAGCAGAUGUGUUCUCAGUAUCCCCAGAUUUUUCGCACUUAGUUAAUUGAAUUUUGAAGAAAUUCUUUUAAGGAGGUGAGUUUUGUAAUACUUUAAUUAAUUUAAAAGGGAAGUCAACCAAAUUGGUCAAAAAUGUCCAGAAUGAAAAAAAAAGGAUAAAACAAAAAUUGGCAGGCGAUGGAUAAAAGUCAUCCAAAUCCAAUCUGUUAUAUAUAUACAAUCAAAAUCUCAUAACACAACACACACUACAAACACAAGAAACAAAAACAGGGAGAAAGAAAGAGGAGAGAAAGGAAAAAGAAGAAAAAAAGGGGAAAAAGAAGGAAAAAAGGAGGAAAAUUUGCCAAUAUGUUAGGAAUUAAGCGAGUUAUACUAUUAGGCUUGAAUUCCUCAAUUUCAAAAGGUAAGUAAAAAGUUACUUAUUGUCAAGUUAUGUUUAAUAUUAUAGUUGUUUGAUUGUUAGAUUAAAUUCAAUUUUAUUGAAGGGGUUAAGUAUAAUAAACUAUGAAAUUAAGUAAAAUGAAAGAAAAAUUAGUUUUAGUGAUUAGAUAGACUUUAGAAAUUGCUCAAAUGUGAAAUGAUUAAGUUGAGCAUCUCGCCUGUUUAAUUAUUGAAAUUACUUAAAAUAAUUAAUUAUCGAUUUAAAAAUUAUAUCAUAUUUCAAGUGGUGAUGCGGGUAUCGGGGCAGCGUACCAGCCAAGUUGAUAUUGACGUGCAUAGUUCUGUGAGUGGAAAAAUAUAAGUAUUUUUAAAGUAAUUAUAAAUUAAGUAUAUUAUCAAAGUAUGUGCAAUUAUGUAAAUUAUUUGCUCCAUUAUGUGAUUACGAUGAAAGUUUCUCUUAUUAUGAUUCAUGUCGAAUCUCAAAAAUUAUUUAUGGCACAUUUGUGACUUGGUAAAUAAGACAUGUGAUAUUGAGAUUUGUCUGAUAUGUGAGACAUGUAAUAUUGAGAUCGACCAGAAAAGCACUCAUGAUUAUACUUCUUCUAGUUCACAGAGGGGCCUUGGCCGUGUUCUAUCCUACAUGGAGGGUCUUGACAGGACAUUGGUCUUGACCGUAUACAUAUAGUUCACAGUAGGACCAUGAUCGUUUAUAAAAUUGAUUAUGAGAGGUCUUUGAGACCUGCUUUCGUUCACAGAGAGGGUCAAAGGCCCAUGGUUAAAGUUUUUAGCUCGAGGGGUGGAUUACAAAUUUCAGUCAGAUGGUACAUUUGUGGUGGAUUUUUCAGUAUAUUUGAUAUGAUGAGAGUCUGGUAUGAUUAUUAGCUUAUGUUAAUAUCAUGAUUUGAGAUGAUAUUUUAUGAAGUUGUGUGGAUAUCUCACGUUUUGGCUAUAAUUAUAUGAUGUUAUCUUGUAAAUUAUUCAAUGAUAUGAAUUCGAUUUUCAAUAAAUAUAAAAUGGGAAAAAUAUAUUUAAUUUUGAACUUCUCCACUCACUGAACUAUCAAUUCAUAUAUUUUUCCACAUUUUUCCUUGUCAGGCAGCAAUUGAGUAUCUGGGCAUCUUGGGGAGUUGAGCCUUGAUUUUGGAUUUAGAGCCACACAACAGAGUUUGUUAGUAUGACUCACUUCAUAGAACAUGUAGUCAGUGCAUGUUCAUGUCUAGAUAUGAUUUGGCAUCACUUGUAAAUAAUUAUUGGGCUCACUAUGUAUAUUGCUUCCAUAUGUACAUUUCAUGUUAUUUUCUUGGUAAAAGAUGAAAUUUCAGCUUAUCAUUAUUGUAUUGUGCUAUAAUUUGGGAUUUGUGUAUAGAGGACUACAGGUUGAUUAGUCCGGUUUAAAAAGGAG
rnacentral:lncRNA from 1 species